CCUACGGGAGGCAGCAGUGGGGAAUAUUGCACAAUGGGGGAAACCCUGAUGCAGCGACGCCGCGUGAGCGAUGAAGUCUUUCGGUAUGUAAAGCUCUAUCAGCAGGGAAGAAAAUGACGGUACCUGACUCAGAAGCCCCGGCUAACUACGUGCCAGCAGCCGCGGUAAUACGUAGGGGGCACGCGUUAUCCGGAUUUACUGGGUGUAAAGGGAGCGUAGACGGUCCUGCAAGCCAGAUGUGAAAGCCCGGGGCUCAACCCCGGGACUGCAUUUGGAACUGGAAGGCUUGAGUGUCGGAGAGGCAGGCGGAAUUCCUGGGGUAGCGGUGAAAUGCGUAGAUAUCAGGAGGAACACCAGUGGCGAAGGCGGCCUUCUGGACGAUGACUGACGUUGAGGCGCGAAAGCGUGGGGAGCAAACAGGAUUAGAUACCCGAGUAGUC
rnacentral:rRNA from 1 species